GUGGACCAACACUAUACAUGCUGUAAUUUCUUUGGCUAACUAUGUGGAGAGUAACAUUAAUGAUCUAGUGAACUAUGACUAUGCGUUGACGACAUUGCUUAAUCUUAGAAGAAACCUAGAGGCAUCCAGUCGGCAUGUUGAGGACACGGUAUGGACUAAGUUUAAUGAAGUGGAGCGUUUAAUUCGCAUUGGUAAUGUCUCAGAGUUUCAGCCCAGUAUUGACAUACCACAAGACCAACUACAUAUGCAAAUCUCACUUGGCAUCCCUCGCAGUGAGAUGGCAAAACGUUUUGGUGUGUCUUUGAAAACACUUAAUCGCAGGAUUACACGAUGGGGGUUAAGACGAGUGGACUUGAACAAAAGUGUUAGUGACGCUGAGUUAGACGUGAUCGUGUCUGACAUUCAUCGCAAUUUCCCCAGCGCUGGCUACAAGCUGAUACUAGGUCACUUGAGGUCAAAGCAACUUUUUGUCAAACGGAGCCGUGUACUGGCAUCGUUAAGGCGAGUAGACGCUGAAGGAGUUCUGGG